GGGGAUGAAAGGAUUUCGACGGGGAUCCUGAGCCACGAUAAGCGAGUAGCGGUGCGGGACCGCUAUAAAAUCCGCAGUUUAUGAAAAAUAAACGACAACAAUACUGUUCUUAAAGCUGCCUAAUUAGGCGGCCGUCCUGUCCGGAAGGACCGCGGUCCGGAACAGGGCGUCGAUGAGCGGUGAACGUGAACGUGUGAGCGCCUUGUAACACGUCAGGCAUCAAAGGCUACUCAACGGCAGAGCCCGCCGGUCGGCGCUGCCCGAGGGGAAUGUCAAACCUCCGGCUACACUCGUAGAAAGUCGUGAGGAGGGGUUUUCGGACGCGGUUUCGAUUACCGCCAUCUCCACCA
rnacentral:tmRNA from 1 species